rnacentral:rRNA from 1 species
GUGAGGAAUAUUGGGCAAUGCCCGCAAGGGUGACCCAGCAACGCCGCGUGGAGGAUGAAUGUCGUAAGAUUGUAAACUCCUGUUAGAGGGGAAGAAUAGUACCGGUUGGACCGGUAUAUGACUGUACCCUCAGAGACAGCCCCGGCUAACUACGUGCCAGCCGCCGCGGUAAUACGUAGGGGGCAAGCGUUGUCCGGAUUUACUGGGUGUAAAGGGCGCGCAGGCGGGAUAAAAAGUCAGUGGUGAAAUCCUACAGCUUAACUGUAGAACUGCCUUUGAUACUUUUAUUCUUGAGUUCGGGAGAGAGAGACGGAAUUCCAGGUGUAGUGGUGAAAUACGUAGAUAUCUGGAAGAACACCAGUUGCGAAGGCGGUCUCUUGGUCCGACACUGACGCUGAGGCGCGAAAGCGUGGGGAGCAAACA